UGAGCCAUUAUGUAGUGAUUAUAUUAAAAUAGUUUAAUUGCUAGCUUUAUCCAGUGGCCAGGUAAGUUUCUACAGAAUGAAUACAAAAAAUGUUUUACAUAAAUGUUAAAGGCACGCCUUAAAAUUAAAUGCCCAUUGCAUUUUGAAGUUAUCUAUUACAUGUUCUUACAAGCUAAUGCAUUUUUAAAGUAUGAUACUUUGUAAAGCACUGUAUAAUAUGAAAACAUGAGAAUUCUCAUGAUCUGUC